rnacentral:piRNA from 1 species
CACGACUGGGAUCAAGCAAC